rfam:Pseudomassariella vexata strain CBS 129021 BCR38scaffold_11, whole genome shotgun sequence.
GCGGGGAUAGCUCAGUUGGGAGAGCGUCAGACUGAAGUCCACUUCAGGAAUCUGAAAUCUGAAGGUCAUGUGUUCAAUCCACAUUCACCGCA